rnacentral:rRNA from 1 species
UACGGAGGAUCCAAGCGUUAUCCGGAAUUACUGGGCGUAAAGAGUUGCGUAGGCGGCAUAGUAAGCAGAUAGUGAAAGCGUGUGGCUCAACCAUACUCACAUUAUCUGAACUGCUAAGCUAGAGGAUGAGAGAGGUCACUGGAAUUCCUAGUGUAGGAGUGAAAUCCGUAGAUAUUAGGAGGAACACCAAUGGCGUAGGCAGGUGACUGGCUCAUUCCUGACGCUCAGGCACGAAAGCGUGGGUAGCAAACGGG